UUGUGGUUUACUGCAGGAAGACGUGCUCUAACUUGCACUUUUUCGUAAAGUUCGUCUGGUGAAGAAGAAUAUGAUUCGCUCUGUGAUUGUUUUACACUGGUUGCUUUGGCUCUUGGCCGCAACUUUCUGUGUCCGGAGGUGGAAGAUCAGGAUACAAACACAUACAGCUGUGUGGUGAACAACUCGUUCACCAACAAAACUACACGACUCCACAUCAAUGUAUUAUGUAAAGAUAACAGCCAGAAAAUAACAAAAAUAGUUAUUGGUGUUUUGGUUUUGGUUCUUGUGGCGAGUAUAAUUGCAUUUUUAAUAUGGAGGAGCAGACGAAGUCAAGAGGG